rnacentral:rRNA from 1 species
ACGCUCGACACCUACGGAGGCAGCAGUAGGGAAUCUUCCGCAAUGGACGAAAGUCUGACGGAGCAACGCCGCGUGAACGAUGAAGGUUUUCGGAUCGUAAAGUUCUGUUGUUAGGGAAGAACAAACUUCGUUUGAAUAAGGCGGAGUCAUGACGGUACCUAACGAGAAAGCCACGGCUAACUACGUGCCGGCAGCCGCGGUAAUCUGAGCGGGCUGGCAAGGC